GACGAACGCUGGCGGCGUGCUUAACACAUGCAAGUCGAACGGAAAGGCCCUGCUUUUGUGGGGUGCUCGAGUGGCGAACGGGUGGGUAACACGUGAGUAACCUGCCCUUGACUUUGGGAUAACUUCAGGAAACUGGGGCUAAUACCGGAUAGGAGCUCCUGCUGCAUGGUGGGGGUUGGAAAGUUUCGGCGGUUGGGGAUGGACUCGCGGCUUAUCAGCUUGUUGGUGGGGUAGUGGCUUACCAAGGCUUUGACGGGUAGCCGGCCUGAGAGGGUGACCGGCCACAUUGGGACUGAGAUACGGCCCAGACUCCUACGGGAGGCAGCAGUGGGGAAUAUUGCACAAUGGGCGGAAGCCUGAUGCAGCAACGCCGCGUGCGGGAUGACGGCCUUCGGGUUGUAAACCGCUUUCGCCUGUGACGAAGCGUGAGUGACGGUAAUGGGUAAAGAAACACCGGCUAACUACGU
rnacentral:rRNA from 1 species